GAUGAACGCUAGCGGCAGGCUUAAUACAUGCAAGUCGAGGGGCAGCAUGAAUGUAGCAAUACAUUUGAUGGCGACCGGCAAACGGGUGCGGAACACGUACACAACCUUCCUAUAAGUGGGGAAUAGCCCAGAGAAAUUUGGAUUAAUACCCCGUAACAUAAUGAUGUGGCAUCACAUUAUUAUUAUAGCUACGGCGCUUAUUGAUGGGUGUGCGGCUGAUUAGAUAGUUGGCGGGGUAACGGCCCACCAAGUCUACGAUCAGUAGCUGAUGUGAGAGCAUGAUCAGCCACACGGGCACUGAGACACGGGCCCGACUCCUACGGGAGGCAGCAGUAAGGAAUAUUGGUCAAUGGACGCAAGUCUGAACCAGCCAUGCCGCGUGAAGGAUUAAGGUCCUCUGGAUUGUAAACUUCUUUUAUCUGGGACGAAAAAAGGCUAUUCUUAGUCACUUGACGGUACCAGAUGAAUAAGCACCGGCUAACUCCGUGCCAGCAGCCGCCGUAAUAC
rnacentral:rRNA from 1 species